GACGAACGCUGGCGGCGUGCUUAACACAUGCAAGUCGAACGGAAAGGCCCUGCUUUUGUGGGGUGCUCGAGUGGCGAACGGGUGAGUAACACGUGAGUAACCUGCCCUUGACUUUGGGAUAACUUCAGGAAACUGGGUCUAAUACCGGAUAGGAGCUCCUGCUGCAUGGUGGGGGUGGGAAAGUUUCGGCGGUUGGGGAUGGACUCGCGGCUUAUCAGCUUGUUGGUGGGGUAGUGGCUUACCAAGGCUUUGACGGGUAGCCGGCCUGAGAGGGUGACAGGCCACAUUGGGCCUGAGAUACGGCCCAGACUCCUACGGGAGGCAGCAGUGGGGAAUAUUGCACAAUGGGCGGAAGCCAGAUGCAGCAACGCCGCGUGCGGGAUGACGGCCUUCGGGUUGUAAACCGAUUUCGCCUGUGACGAAGCGUGAGUGACGGUACUGGGUAAAGAAGCACCGGCUAACUACGUG
rnacentral:rRNA from 1 species